AGGGGGAGCAGCCAUGACUGCUAGCUAGUUCAAAAGGAUCCUGCUGUGUCCCAGUCAACAGUGGCCUCUUUUGGAAUUAGGACCACUAACCCAGCAUAUCCUAAAGGGUCCUCAUCUCAGUCUUCCUGCGCAGGGAUCUAGGCAGUAUGGAUGGGACCGACCUCACAGAGGAGACUGCCUACCUCAGAUAGCAAUAGAGGAGAGUCGGUUUGGGCCCUGGAUGACAGAUCGUAACUGUCCUGAGUGGCUGGACAUCUUAGAGUGAACAGCAGACAGCACCGGCUUCAUGUGAGAGUCCUGCCUGGACAUUGAGGAUGGAUCCGAGAGAGAAGCGCAGAGCCUGACGGAUCAGACACCACCACCCCUUAGCGGCGACGAAACCGAGCGGUAGCAUGGGAGGAUGCCGCCUCCUCCAGGAAGCUCUCUAGCGCUUUUCCGAGUCCUGGAGCCAGGCGGGACUUCUCUGUGGUCGCCUAGAAGGAGACCAACAAUUGUCAGCACAGCAAAACUGGGCAUUUCUUUUCUUACUGAGCUUUGCAGCUACCUACACAGUUGUGUGUGGCAUCUCCUCCUGGGUGCAAGGACAUGAGAUGACAUCAGUUACUGUGAUCUCCAGUAAAAUGUUUAAUACAAGUGG
rnacentral:lncRNA from 10 species